rnacentral:rRNA from 1 species
ACGGUCCUAAGGUAGCGAAAUUCCUUGUCGGGUAAGUUCCGACCCGCACGAAAGGCGUAAUGAUUUGAGCACUGUCUCGACAAUGCAUCCGGUGAAAUUGAAGUACCAGUGAAGAUGCUGGUUACCUGCGCCAGGACGGAAAGACCCCAUGGAGCUUUACUCCAGUUUGAUACUGGGAUUCGGUACUGCAUGUACAGGAUAGGUGGGAGACGAAGAAGGAUGGACGCCAGUCUGUCCGGAGUCGCUGUUGGGAUACCACCCCUGUAGUACUGGGUUUCUAACCAGUUGCCAUGAACUGGCAAUGGGACAAUGUCAGGCGGGGAGUUUGACUGGGGCGGUCGCCUCCGAAAGGGUAUCGGAGGCGCUCAAAGGUUCCCUCAGAAUGGUUGGAAACCAUUCGAAGAGUGCAAAGGCAGAAGGGAGCUUGACUGCGACACCGACGGGUGGAGCAGGUACGAAAGUAGGACUUAGUGAUCCGGUGGUAUAAAGUGGGAUUGCCAUCGCUCAACGGAUAAAAGCUACCCUGGGGAUAACAGGCUUAUCACUCCCAAGAGUUCACAUCGACGGAGUGGUUUGGCACCUCGAUGUCGGCUCAUCGCAUCCUGGGGCUGUAGUAGGUCCCAAGGGUUGGGCUGUUCGCCCAUUAAAGCGGUACGCGAGCUGGGUUCAGAACGUCGUGAGACAGUUCGGUCCCUAUCCGGCGUGGGCGUAGGAUAUUUGAGAGGAGCUGUCCUUAGUACGAGAGGACCGGGAUGGACAAACCUCUGGUGUAUCUGUUGUUUUACCAAAGGCAUGGCAGAGUAGCCAAGUUUGGCAGGGAUAAACGCUGAAGGCAUCUAAGCGUGAAGCCCCCCUCAAGAUAAGAUAUCCCAUCUUCGGAGUAAGACCCCUUGAAGACUACAAGGUUGAUAGGCUUUGAGUGUAAGUGCGGUAACGCACUGAGCUGAGAAGUACUAAUAGGUCGAGGACUUAUCCUU